rnacentral:rRNA from 1 species
UACGGAGGGAGCUAGCGUUGUUCGGAAUUACUGGGCGUAAAGCGCACGUAGGCGGCGAUUCAAGUCAGAGGUGAAAGCCCGGGGCUCAACCCCGGAACUGCCUUUGAAACUAGAUUGCUAGAAUCCUGGAGAGGUUAGUGGUGAAUUCCGAGUGUAGAGGUGAAAUUCGUAGAUAUUCGGAAGAACACCAGUGGCGAAGGCGACUAACUGGACAGUAGUGUACGCUGAGGUGCGAAAGCGUGGGGAGCAAACAGGGAU